GGCCCAGUAGUGUAAUGGUCAACACACCUACUUGAAGUAUAAGAUUUACUUCGUGGGUUUGGUGGGUGAUCCCUGUUUGAUUCAGGGCUAGGCCA